rnacentral:tRNA from 1 species
GAUUCCGUAGCAUAGCGGUUAGUGCAGCCGUCCGGAGAGGGGAGGACAUAGGUUCAAAUCCUACCAGUAUCU